rnacentral:sRNA from 1 species
AGCAGCCGCGGUAAUUCCAGCUCCAAUAGCGUAUAUUAAAGUUGUUGCAGUUAAAAAGCUCGUAGUUGAAUUUCGGGGUUAGUAGGUCGGUCGUGCCACUGGUAUGUACUGGCCUCACUGGCUCCUCCUUCCUGAUGAACCGUAAUGCCAUUAAUUUGGUGUUGCGGGGAGACUGGACUGUUACUUUGAAAAAAUUAGAGUGUUUAAAGCAGGCUAACGCUUGAAUACAUUAGCAUGGAAUAACGGAAUAGGACGUUCGAUCUUAUUUUGUUGGUUUCUAAGAUUGACGUAAUGAUUAAUAGGGAUAGUUGGGGGCAUUAGUAUUCAAUUGUCAGAGGUGAAAUUCUUGGAUUUAUUGAAGACUAACUACUACGAAAGCAUUUGCCAAGGAUGUUUUCAUUAAUCAAGAACGAAAGUUAGGGGAUCGAAGACGAUCAGAUACCGUCGUAGUCUUAACCAUAAACUAUGCCGACUAGGGAUCUGAUGAUGUUAAUUUUUUAAUGACUCAUUCGGCGCCUUA